rnacentral:rRNA from 1 species
GCUGUUAAGGGUUCGUAGUUGAAUGCGGAGUAAAGGGAUACUUGUUCGCAAGACCUCCCUGCUCUGUUUAGACGGGAUUGGAUGCCAUGCGGAAGACACUAUUAAUUUAGUGUUGGAAGCGCCUACCGAAGAGGUAAGCACUACGCAUGCAACGCAUGCACUUGGCCGCCCGUCGUUUUACUGUGAGUAAAACAGCGUGUUCAAGGCAGCCUUCGGCUGAAUGACAAAGCAUGGAAUACAGGGGAUCGACCGGUGGGUUCAUCUUUUGUUGGUUUUUAAGAUCCAUUUGGAUAAUUUGUGGGCAAGUGAUUCAUGCAUUCCUCUGGCUUGCCUUUGGUUUGCACUGGACCUUUGCCGACACGGGAUUAAUGGGGGUUGUCGGGGGAAAACGUAUCGGAGCGUGAGAGGUGAAAUUCUUGACCGCUCUGGGACGAACUUAUGCGAAGGCAUUUUCCAAGUAUACCUUCCUCAAUCAGAACUAAAGUG